rnacentral:tRNA from 1 species
AUUUAAAUAGCUUAUAUAUUAGAGUAUAAUAUUGAAGAUAUUAAGGAAGUAAAAUUAUUUUUAAAUA